CUUUCCCUCUUCUCCCCAAUACUUUCCCUCUUCUCCCCUAUACUUUCCCUCUUCCCCCAACUCUCCAGAGUACUCGCCCUCUUCUCCCCAAUACUUUUCCCCUUUUCCCCAAUACUUUCUCUCUUCCCCCAACUCUCCACAAUACUCUUCCUCUUCUCCCUAGUACUUUCCCUCUUCUCCCCAAUACUCUCCCCCCCAACACUCCUCAAUACUCUCCCUCUUCUUCCCAAUACUCUCCCUCUUCCUCCAACUCUCCACAAUACUCUCCCUCGUCUCCCCACUACUCUCCUCAAUACUCUUCCUCUUCUCCCCAAUACUCUCCCUCUUCCCCCCAAUACUCUCCCUCUUUCACCCAAAAUACACUUCCUCUUCUCCCCAAUACUCUCCCUCUUCCCCACAGUACUCUGACAUGGAGUCUACAGUCUCCAUUUCUCCAUCUCCCUCUCUCUCGUAUUCUUCUGUAAUUUUUUUUAUAGUUAGAAAGUUUAAUGUUAGUUAUUUCUUAACAAUUUUUUCCUUGUAAUCAGUGCCAUUAUGAAUUUUAAUAAGAAUUAUUUCUUUAUUUUCUCUCUGUUGUUCACUUGUAGGGGUAUCAGCGUCUCAUGGAGGCAUACAUUUAGGACGCCCAACGCGCUCGCAGAUCUUAUGGAAAAUGACGGAGCCGACCUCACAAGCUGUCUUGGAUUACCUCUAAGCUAGCUAAUGAGCCUUUCUCUCCUUUUUGUUCACUACUCACAUACAUGUUGUAAAUAGGGUGUUAUAUAAGCCCUUGCAGAGCCAACUCAUUGUUGUAACAGUAUUGGACUCUGUUUUGGCUUUUUGUAAAGGGAUUACCUUACCCGUUAGGGUUCUGGUAGAUCCCAAUUUUUGUAAGGGACGCUAGACCCAACACCUGUAUUUACUUCUUUUUUUAUUCCAUGAAGCAGUUAACUGUCUAGAGUUUGUUGUUUGUUUCUUACAUGACUGUAUUCAGCAAAUAUGGACCAAGGUUUGCAAGCAAAUUAUACUUUAUCCUUGUUUGAUAAUUGUAUGACUUGUUUUCUGUUUUGGGCAUUCUGUUUGUGCCUUUAGCAGUGUGAUGUGGUUCAUAUAACUUGCAUCCUGUGGAGCCCAUACCAUAUAUUUGUGGUGACAAAAUUGAAAUUAAGCUUUUGUUGCUUACUUCAUCCUAUUUUGAAAUCUACAGGCUAGCAAAAUUUGUGGGAUAAUCUUUGUUUUAGACUGAUCCUUUAUUUAUAUGUUUCAAGCUAUGCAAGAGCUCCAUUGAAAAAAUAAGCAGGGUGGUGCAAGAGUUAGAGUUUUAGAGAGAGAGAGAGAGAGAGAGAGAGAGANNN
rnacentral:lncRNA from 1 species